rnacentral:rRNA from 1 species
UUUAAUUGAAGAGUUUGAUCAUGGCUCAGAUUGAACGCUGGCGGCAGGCCUAACACAUGCAAGUCGAGCGGUAACAGGAGAAAGCUUGCUUUCUUGCUGACGAGCGGCGGACGGGUGAGUAAUAUAUGGGGAUCUGCCCGAUAGAGGGGGAUAACUACUGGAAACGGUGGCUAAUACCGCAUGAUGUCUACGGACCAAAGCAGGGGCUCUUCGGACCUUGCGCUAUCGGAUGAACCCAUAUGGGAUUAGCUAGUAGGUGGGGUAAUGGCUCACCUAGGCGACGAUCUCUAGCUGGUCUGAGAGGAUGAUCAGCCACACUGGGACUGAGACACGG